rnacentral:rRNA from 1 species
UACGGAGGGAGCUAGCGUUGUUCGGAAUUACUGGGCGUAAAGGGCUCGUAGGCGGCCAACUAAGUCGGAUGUGAAAUCCCCAAGCUUAACUUGGGAACUGCAUCCGAUACUGGAUGGCUUGAGUUUGGGAGAGGGAUGCGGAAUUCCAGGUGUAGCGGUGAAAUGCGUAGAUAUCUGGAGGAACACCGGUGGCGAAGGCGGCAUCCUGGACCAACACUGACGCUGAGACGCGAAAGCGUGGGGAGCGAACAGG